UAGCAUUACCCUGAUAACAAAAUCAAACACACAGACCAAAAAAGAAAACUACAGGCCAAUAUCACUGAUGAAUAUUGAUGCAAAAAUCCUCAAUAAAAUAUUAGCUAACUGAAUUCCACAACACAUUAAAGUUGGGGUGCAGUGUCCCAGGUUCACUCAACCCUUCCCGUUUUCCUCUCUGUGUGUGUCUACUUUGCCGUGUUCCCUGGUGGCGGCGGCGGUGGCAGUGUUGGUGCAUGGGCCUCCCAGGACAAGGGGAAAGACAGCAAGGCUGAGGAGAAUGGCUCCGACAGCUUCAUGCACUCCAUGGACCCAUAGCUGGAGCGGCAAAUGGAAACCACCCAGAACCUUGUGGACUCCUACAUGGCCAUUGUCAACAAGACCGUGUGGGACCUCAUGACCAAGGAGUUCAUCUUCUCGGAGCUGCUGUCCAACCUGUACUCACGUGGGGACCAGAAAACGCUGAUGGAAGAGUCGGCAGAGCAGGCACAGUGGCGCGACGAGAUGCUGCGCAUGUACCACGUGCUGAAGGAGGCACUCGGCAUCAUCGGCGACAUCAACACGACCACCAUCAGCACGCACAUGGGGGCCCGUGGACAACUCCUGCCUGCAGGUGCAGAGCGUCCUUGCCGGAUGCAGGCCUGGUGGCUGUUGUUUUGGGCUCCCCAAGGCGAGAGGCGGCCCUGGACAAGUGGGUUGGAAGACACGGUGACCAGAGAAGAGGGAAGCCCAAAGGGGCUGAGCAUCAGUCUUAACAGUGGGUGCACUGGGUGCCGUGGAAGAGGCCAGCACGUGUGGGGUGGGGAGGGCUGCCACAGCCCCCAGGCACUACCUGUGAAACUCCGGCUCCUCCCUCUGUCUUCCUCCCCUUUCCCUUCCAGCCCCUCUUUUCCAGGAACCUUGCCACACCCGCACGUGCACCCUUUACUCCUUGGCCCUCCCACAGCUGCUGUGGCACACCUGUGCUCUGCACUUGCCUCACCAGCUCUCUGCUCGCUUUUUUUUUUUAUUAUUAUUAUUAUGCUUUAAGUUUUAGGGUACAUGUGACAAU